AGGACGCCAGUGGUCCAGGAUUGAAUUUGGAAUUACACUUUCAAGGCUCUUACAAAGAGCGUGUGGAUCAGCGGUGGGAAUCGGCGAGACCACGUAGAAAACGGGCGGAGAUUCUUAAUCACUGCACCACUGGGGGGGAAGCCCCUACCAGCAUCAUCAUCUAAAUAGCGGACAAGGGAAGCCCAGGGAGAAUGUCUAAAGUCACAGACCUCGCCGUGCAGUUGGAGAAAAGGGUCUCACAGGCUGUCUGGAGAGACUGAUGGGGACCAGGCAGUGGUGUGCAGUGUGACCAUGAGAAACACAGAAGAGUUGACCAAGUGUGUCUGUGACCCAGGGGAGGGGGCACAGACUCUCCUAUGUGGUCGAA